CUCCUAGUAGCUCAGUUGGUUUAGAGCGUUCGGCUGUAAUUGAAAGAUGAAAACUUGAUUACCGAAAGGUCACCUGUUCGACUCAGGUCUGGGAGA